rnacentral:rRNA from 1 species
UCUAGCCUACGGGGGGCAGCAGUAGGGAAUCUUCCACAAUGGGCGAAAGCCUGAUGGAGCAACGCCGCGUGGGUGAAGAAGGUCUUCGGAUCGUAAAACCCUGUUGUUAGAGAAGAAAGUGCGUGAGAGUAACUGUUCACGUUUCGACGGUAUCUAACCAGAAAGCCACGGCUAACUACGUGCCAGCAGCCGCGGUAAUACGUAGGUGGCAAGCGUUAUCCGGAUUUAUUGGGCGUAAAGGGAACGCAGUCGGUUUUUUAUGUCUUAU